CUUGCCUCACCGCCUACACCCCGCCCUCAACCGAACCUAUGACGUCACUGUCAUCUGAUUGGCUCAGACACCUGUUGUCAAGCAGGACACCGGGUUGUUGACUGGAGAAAGGAGCAGGCGCCAUUUUUAAAGAGCUACAUCCAGCACUUUUGCUGCUUUGAUUUGUUUAUCAUCGAGGGUGUGGCGGAUAGAAGGGCAAAGCGCUUGGCUGUUUUACACAACAGCCAAUAGAGUACGAGAUCCGCUGUACACACCCCCCUCUCUCCAAAAUCUGGGUCACGGGGAACCUGGAGCCUAUCCCAGGGAGCAUCGGGCACAAGGCGGGAUACACCCUGGACAGGGUGCCAAUCCAUUGCAGGGCACAAUCACAUACACAUUCACACACCCAUUCAUACACUAUGGACACUUUGGACACGCCAAUCAGCCUACCAUGCAUGUCUUUGGACUGGGGGAGGAAACCGGAGUACCCGGAGGAGACCCUCGCAGCAUGGGGAGAACAUGCAGACUCCGCACACACAGGGCCACUGUGGGAAUCGAACCCCCGACCCUGGAGGUAUGAGGUGAACGUGGCACAUUAUACUAUAUAACAUUAAUAUUCAUGUCCAAUAUUGAACCAGAGUUGGCUCUGCAUUAAAGAUGAGAAAGAAAU